ACUCAAAUGAAUUGACGGGGGCCCGCACAAGCGGCGGAGCAUGUUGCUUAAUUCGAUGCAACGCGAAGAACCUUACCUGGGUUGAACUACGCCGGAAAAGCCGCAGAGAUGCGGUGUCCGCAAGGGCCGGCGAUAGGUGGUGCAUGGCUGUCGUCAGCUCGUGUCGUGAGAUGUUGGGUUAAGUCCCGCAACGAGCGCAACCCUUGUCCUAUGUUGCCAGCGGGUAAUGCCGGGGACUCGUAGGAGACUGCCGGGGUCAACUCGGAGGAAGGUGGGGAUGACGUCAAGUCAGCAUGCCCCUUAUGCCCAGGGCUGCAAACAUGCUACAAUGGCCGGUACAAAGGGCUGCUAUCCCGCGAGGGGGAGCGAAUCCCAAAAAGCCGGUCUAAGUUCGGAUCGGAGUCUGCAACUCGACUCCGUGAAGCCGGAGUCGCUAGUAAUCCCGGAUCAGCAACGCCGGGGUGAAUACGUUCCCGGGCCUUGUACACACCGCCCGU
rnacentral:rRNA from 1 species